GAGUACUUCCUUUUUGGCAAUAGCGAGAAACCUAACAGCCAUGCACUUUGUUGACUUUUCUACUGCUAAAUUAAUUUUUCUGUUACUCCUUAAUUAAUCAUUGAUGAAAAUUCGGCUCAUAUAUGCACUUGUUAUCCAUUUAAGAAUUAUUCUUUCUUAGCACUUACAAUGGAUGAGCCAACCCGCAGCAGUAAAAUUAGGCCACUCUAUUUACUUUUCGGUAA
rnacentral:lncRNA from 1 species